rnacentral:rRNA from 1 species
CACGUAGGGCGCGAGCGUUGUCCGGAAUUAUUGGGCGUAAAGAGCUCGUAGGCGGUCUGUCGCGUCGGCUGUGAAAACACGGGGCUCAACUCCGUGCCUGCAGUCGAUACGGGCAGACUAGAGUUCGGUAGGGGAGACUGGAAUUCCUGGUGUAGCAGUGAAAUGCGUAGAGAUCAUGAGGAAGACCAGUGGCGAAGGCGGGUCUCUGGACAGUUCCUGACACUGAGACACGAAGGCCAGGGGAGCAAACGGG